UACGGAGGGUGCAAGCGUUACCCGGAAUCAUUGGGCGUAAAGCGUGCGUAGGCGGAUUAUUAAGUCAGGUGUCAAAUACUGCAGCUCAACUGUAGCAAGGUAUCUGAAACUGGUAGUCUAGAGUCUUGUAGAGGUAUGUGGAAUUCUGUGUGUAGGGGUAAAAUCCGUAGAUAUACAGAGGAACACCAAAAGCGAAGGCAGCAUACUGGGCAAGUACUGACGCUGUUGCACGAAAGCGUGGGGAGCAAACAGG
rnacentral:rRNA from 1 species